CGAACUCAACGGACGUACCAGCCGGUUUUUGAUACCUGCCGCGUGCCAGUGUUUACGUGUCGCUCAGCUCAUUUCUGUACUACCUUCUUGGGCGUUUGCUUUUAAAUUGUUUACAAACCGGUUUUUGCCAAGCAACGACAAAUGAAUCCGGAAAAGUUCAAAUUGCUUGAGCACAUGAGUCAUGACGGGUGAAUAUGUUGCCUUUAGCCGUAAUUUGACAAGCACUUGUUGACAGUUGUAGCAUCUGAUACUAUUUUGCUCAUUCGUCUACUACCUUUUUAGACAGCAUCACAAAAUGUGUAUCUCGCACACCCUGAAAAAAACUCGUGCGAAAAAUGUCUCCCUCAGUUUUCUUGGUGCUUCCAAAAGCGAUAGUUUGCUGUGUUGUCAAAUUUGUGAUUAAAGCCAGAGUUGGCCGUUUAAAACCUGUCUCAACUAAAUUUAGUAUAUUUUCUGAACAAAACUUGUCUAAAACGAAGUGUAUGCAGGCGUGCAGAAAGAUUGCGAAGCGAGUAGAAAGUGUGUGAGAUCAUCAACCGGUGACUGAGGGAAAACUGGAAAAGCUACAAAGAUUGACGUCUUUGGAUUUUGGCCUUUUCUUUUUGGCGCAAUUGCAUAGAUUGUCUGGUGUGCGAAUGCAAUGGGACGAUGGUAAAUUUGUAGGAUCGCGUUGGCUGGAGGCGCCUUCAACAUAUCUGUGUGCGAGCGAGUGCGUCGAUUAUUGAACUUCUUUUGUUUGAUGAGGCUCCAGUGUUGAUGCUUCCCGUGAGGAAUCUGUAGGUACCAAAUAUCUAUUGGCUCACUAACUUGGCUAUGGGUUUUUAAGCCGCGCUUACCUGUUGGUCUUCUUUGGCUAUCUGAAAUCUGUUCUCAAUUUCUGCUGUGCCGCACUGUUACCUUGUUUUAAAGUGUUUUUUAACGCGUUCUUGCCUAUCAUCGUAUGUGCCUACAUACAUACGUACGUAGAUGGAAGUAAGAGAAUCUACAAAAAAUUUGAAUCAUUCCUCGCCAGCGUUGGUGGAAACUAUCACCUUCAUUAUCGAAUUUGUGGCUGGUAAUUAAAUAUGCGUUUGAAUAAGAAGCCAGUUCAAAGAACGUGUUUUAAGCUUCGAUUUUGUGAGUGAAGAAUGGCUCAAGGUAACCUACAAAAAUCCAGGUACGCGCGCUUUGCAUUUGAAUUAUUUCAUUUAGGUUAAAAUGUAGUUCACGUAAAUGCCCUGGCAAUUAUUUAAACGAUACCUAAAGUAAUGCUAAAGAGCAUAAAACACCAUGGAUUAGUGCAUCUACCAAAAGUACAAGCGAUCGCUUGCCAUUCGAAUACAAAUCGCUCUAAAGAGUUAUUUUUGUGAAAUCAAAAUAUGUAUGUACGUAUUCAAUAAGUGGCUUUGACCGGUAGAAAGCCUCAUUCCGGAUUCGAAACAUCGCUGUCCCAACGACAGCGCUUUUUCACAGUAAAUAUUCUAAAUCGUAUCUGACGAAU